AGUGAACGCUGGCGGCAGGCCUAACACAUGCAAGUCGAACGGCAGCACGGCAGUAGCAAUACUGUGGGUGGCGAGUGGCGGACGGGUGAGGAAUACAUCGGGAUCUACCCUGUUGUGGGGGAUAACGUAGGGAAACUUACGCUAAUACCGCAUAAGAACUGAGGUUGAAAGCGGCGGACCGCAAGGCGUCGCGCGAUUGGAUGAACCGAUGUCCGAUUAGCUAGUUGGCGGGGUAAAGGCCCACCAAGGCGACGAUCGGUAGCUGGUCUGAGAGGACGACCAGCCACACUGGAACUGAGACACGGUCCAGACUCCUACGGGAGGCAGCAGUGGGGGAAUAUUGGACAAUGGCGGCAAGACCUGAUCCAGCCAUGCCGCGUGGGUGGAAGAAAGGACCUCGGUUGGUUAAGGUACCGUUUACGUUUCCGGUAACGGU
rnacentral:rRNA from 1 species